rnacentral:rRNA from 1 species
CCAUGCAGACGACGCCCCGCAGGGGAGUGGCAGACGGGUGAGUAACGCGUGGGAACCUACCUAUUGGUGCGGAAUAACUCGGGGAAACCCGUGCUAAUACCGCAUAAGCCCGAGAGGGGAAAGAUUUACCGCCGAUAGAUGGGCCCGCGUCGGAUUAGCUUGUUGGCGAGGUAAUGGCUCACCAAGGCGACGAUCCGUAGCUGGUCUGAGAGGAUGAUCAGCCUCACUGGGACUGAGACACGGCCCAGACUCCUACGGGAGGCAGCAGUGGGGAAUAUUGGACAAUGGGGGAAACCCUGAUCCAGCCAUGCCGCGUGAGUGACGAAGGCCUUAGGGUUGUAAAGCUCUUUUGGCGGGGACGAUAAUGACGGUACCCGCAGAAUAAGCCCCGGCUAACUUCGUGCCCAGCAGCCCGCGGUAAUACGAAGGGGGGCUAGCGUUGUUCGGGAAAUCCACUU